AACCUAGCACACCUGCGGUGUGUACCUGCGGAAGGAUCAUUACUGUUUUGGAACCGCAAUGACUCAGGAACGCAUUCCGUGUCCGCUGGUGCGCAUUGCUUUGAUUUGUUUGAUUGGCAGGGAGAGCGCAGCGCGCAAAAGACAUCCACCCGUCGUGGAUAAUUUUGUUGUGUUUUGUUUGUGCGAAAAAGUCCUUGAUAAUGCUCAGCGAGAGGUAAUAGCACCUACAAUUGCCAAGUA
rnacentral:misc_RNA from 1 species